UGGGGAAUUUUGGACAAUGGGCGAAAGCCUGAUCCAGCAAUGCCGCGUGUGUGAAGAAGGCCUUCGGGUUGUAAAGCACUUUUGUCCGGAAAGAAAUCCUUGGCUCUAAUACAGUCGGGGGAUGACGGUACCGGAAGAAUAAGCACCGGCUAACUACGUGCCAGCAGCCGCGGUAAUACGUAGGGUGCAAGCGUUAAUCGGAAUUACUGGGCGUAAAGCGUGCGCAGGCGGUUUGCUAAGACCGAUGUGAAAUCCCCGGGCUCAACCUGGGAACUGCAUUGGUGACUGGCAGGCUAGAGUAUGGCAGAGGGGGGUAGAAUUCCACGUGUAGCAGUGAAAUGCGUAGAGAUGUGGAGGAAUACCGAUGGCGAAGGCAGCCCCCUGGGCCAAAUACUGACGCUCAUGCACGAAAGCGUGGGGAGCAAACAGGAUUAGAUACCCUGGUAGUCCACGCCCUAAAACGAUGUCAACUAGUUGUUGGGGAUUCAUUUCCUUAGUAUCGUAGCUAACGCGUGAAGUUGACCGCCUGGGGAGUACGGUCGCAAGAUU
rnacentral:rRNA from 1 species